UACGUAGGGGGCAAGCGUUGUCCGGAAUCAUUGGGCGUAAAGCGCGCGUAGGCGGCCCGAUAAGUCCGCCGUGAAAGUCCAGGGCUCAACCCUGGAAUGCCGGUGGAAACUGUCGGGCUGGAGUCCGGAAGAGGCGAGUGGAAUUCCUGGUGUAGCGGUGAAAUGCGUAGAUAUCCGAAGGAACAUCAGUGGCGAAAGCGGCUUCCUGGACCAGAACUGACGAUCAGGCUCGAAAGCGUGGGGAGCAAACAGG
rnacentral:rRNA from 1 species